CCUGGUUGAUCCUGCCAGUAAUCAUAUGCUUGUCUCAAAGAUUAAUCCAUGCAUGUCUAAGUACAUGCCGAAAUAAGGCGAAACCGCGAAUGGCUCAUUAAAUCAGUUAUGGUUCCUUAGAUCGUUUCUUCCUACUUGGAUAACUGUGGCAAUUCUAGAGCUAAUACAUGCAGUGAGCCUGGAGCCCUUUGGGUAACGGGUGCUUUUAUUAGACCAAGAUCGAUCGGGUUUCGGCCCGUAUUGUGUUCUGGAUAACUUUGUGCUGAUCGCAUGGCCACGAGCCGGCGACGUUUCUUUCAAGUGUCUGCCUUAUCAACUUUCGAUGGUAGGUUACUUGCUUACCAUGGUUGUUACGGGUAACGGAGAAUCAGGGUUCGAUUCCGGAGAGGGAGCCUGAGAAACGGCUACCACAUCCAAGGAAGGAAGGCAGCAGGCGCGCAAAUUACCCACUCCCGGCACGGGGAGGUAGUGACGAAAAAUAACAAUACGGGACUCUUUUGAGGCCCCGUAAUUGAAAUGAGUACACUCUAAAUCCUUUAACGAGGAUCAAUUGGAGGGCAAGUCUGGUGCCAGCAGCCGCGGUAAUUCCAGCUCCAAUAGCGUAUACUAAAGCUGCUGCGGUUAAAAAGCUCGUAGUUGGAUCUCAGUUCCAGACGAGUAGUGCAUCUACCCGAUGCGACGGCUCGGACUGAACAUCAUGCCGGUUCUUUCUUGGUGCACUUCAUUGUGUGCCUCGAGAUGGCCGGUGCUUUUACUUUGAAAAAAUUAGAGUGCUCAACGCAGGCGAGUCGCCUGAAUAAACUUGCAUGGAAUAAUAGAACAAGACCUCGUUUCUGUUCUGUUGGUUUUUGGAAUACGAGGUAAUGAUUAAGAGGGACGGACGGGGGCAUUCGUAUUGCGGCGCUAGAGGUGAAAUUCUUGGACCGUCGCAAGACGAACUACUGCGAAAGCAUUUGCCAAGAAUGUUUUCAUUGAUCAAGAACGAAAGUCAGAGGUUCGAAGGCGAUCAGAUACCGCCCUAGUUCUGACCAUAAACGAUGCCAACCAGCGAUCCGCCUGAGUUACUCAAAUGACUCGGCGGGCAGCUUCCGGGAAACCAAAGUAUUUGGGUUCCGGGGGAAGUAUGGUUGCAAAGCUGAAACUUAAAGGAAUUGACGGAAGGGCACCACCAGGAGUGGAGCCUGCGGCUUAAUUUGACUCAACACGGGAAAACUUACCCGGCCCGGACACUGGGAGGAUUGACAGAUUGAGAGCUCUUUCUUGAUUCGGUGGAUGGUGGUGCAUGGCCGUUCUUAGUUGGUGGAGCGAUUUGUCUGGUUAAUUCCGAUAACGAACGAGACUCUAGCCUAUUAAAUAGGGGUUCCCAGCACCUUACAACCUUCUUAGAGGGACAAGCGGCUCCUAGCCGCACGAAACAGAGCAAUAACAGGUCUGUGAUGCCCUUAGAUGUCCGGGGCCGCACGCGCGCUACACUGAAGGAAGCAGCGUGUCUUUAUCCCUGUCUGAAAAGACUGGGUAACCCGUGGAACUUCUUUCGUGAUUGGGAUAGGGGCUUGCAAUUGUUCCCCUUGAACGAGGAAUUCCCAGUAAGCGCGAGUCAUAAGCUCGCGUUGAUUACGUCCCUGCCCUUUGUACGCCCGUCGCUACUACCGAUUGAAUGAUUUAGCGAGGUCUUCGGACCGAUGUCCGGCGCGGCCUUUCGGUUGCGCCGGUCUGUUGGAAAGAUGACCAAACUUGAUCAUUUAGAGGAAGUAAAAGUCGUAACAAGGUUUCCGUAGGUGAACCUGCGGAAG
rnacentral:rRNA from 1 species